rnacentral:rRNA from 1 species
GACAGAGGCCUCGAGCGUUAGGCGGAAUCACUGGGCUUAAAGCGUGUGUAGGCGGGCCCGUAAGUGUCUUGUGAAAUCCCACGGCUCAACCGUGGAACUGCUGGGCAUACUGCGGGUCUUGGGCCAACUAGGGGCAGCCGGAACAAGCGGUGGAGCGGUGAAAUGCGUAGAUAUCGCUUGGAACGCCGAAGGUGAAAACAGGGCUGCUGGGGUUGCGCCGACGCGUGAGACACGAAAGCCAGGGGAGCAAACGGGG